AUGAUGUUCAUAGAUCAAUCAAGAACAAUCAAACACCACCUUCUGAGGAACAGCUUAAAGCUCUUGAAGAGUACAUCAAAUCGGUUCGUCGUUCACCUUAAUAUCCGUGGCACAUGUUACACCACGUCAUUCCUAUCUUCUCACACAACAACAACAACAACUGCUUACUCCUACUUCUUAAAUAAAAUGUCAUAUUUGCACAAAUAA